rnacentral:rRNA from 1 species
CGAACGGGUGAGUAACGCGUGAGGAACCUGCCUCAAAGAGGGGGACAACAGUUGGAAACGACUGCCAAUACCGCAUAAGCCCACGGGUCGGCAUCGACCUGAGGGAAAAGGAGCAAUCCGCUUUGAGAUGGCCUCGCGUCCGAUUAGCUAGUUGGUGAGGUAACGGCCCACCAAGGCGACGAUCGGUAGCCGGACUGAGAGGUUGAACGGCCACAUUGGGACUGAGACACGGCCCAG